rnacentral:rRNA from 1 species
UGGAGCAUGUGGUUUAAUUCGAUGCAACGCGAAGAACCUUACCAGGGCUUGACAUCCUGCGAACCUGGUGGAAACACUGGGGUGCCUUAAGGGAACUUAAGGAGCGCAGAGACAGGUGGUGCAUGGUUGUCGUCAGCUCGUGUCGUGAGAUGUUGGGUUAAGUCCCGCAACGAGCGCAACCCUUGCCGUUAGUUGCUAACGGGUGAAGCCGAGCACUCUAACGGGACUGCCGGUGACAAGCCGGAGGAAGGUGGGGAUGACGUCAAAUCAUCAUGCCCUUUAUGCCCUGGGCUACACACGUGCUACAAUGGCCGGUACAGAGAGAAGCGAAGCCGCGAGGUGGAGCAAAUCCUAAAAAGCCGGUCUCAGUUCGGAUUGCAGGCUGCAAUUCGCCUGCAUGAAGUCGGAAUCGCUAGUAAUCGCAGGUCAGCAUACUGCGGUGAAUACGUUCCCGGGCCUU